CAGAAACAGAACUGAUCAAUGUGCAUGUUGGAUAAAAACUGAUAGAAAAUAUGUUCAAUCUUUUAAUAAACACAACAACUAACUUCACAAGUCUAAUAUCCUUCCCUGACAUCACCUGUCAUCCUAUUAGCUACAACCAGGAAGUUAUAUCACCCCACCACUCUGGUCAGCAAAGCCCUUUCCCUCCAAGAACCACUAUUCCUUUGAUUAAUAUCCUGAAGGUGAAGGAAGUACUGAGACAGAUGAUGCAUAAAUGAAUGUCAGUUGAAUGCAGUCAGACAGCAGCGUGAGGAAGAGGAAGCUGCCAUCAGCUGCUGUACUUCUACUAUCAGUCCACUAGAUGGCGUCAUGCAGCUGCAGUGAAGUGAAGAGCAGUCCAGCAAACACACCAUCAUGGACGACUAUUUCCAUCCACUGACACACAGAAGGACUGAGAUCCACUGAGUUUAUCUGACACAGUCUCUGUGUCACAGCGUCCCUGUAGAAAAUGACUUAAUGAAACAAGCUACAGCUGAUUAUUUCACACACAGCAACUGGGACUGAAUUUAUUUCACCUCACAGCUCCAAUAUCACAACAUUCACUCAUUUCACUGACACUGACAAUUAAAUCAUAUAAAAAGAC